ACACAUGCAAGUCGAACGAAGCACUUAUCUUUGAUUCUUCGGAUGAAGAGAUUUGUGACUGAGUGGCGGACGGGUGAGUAACGCGUGGGUAACCUGCCUCAUACAGGGGGAUAACAGUUAGAAAUGACUGCUAAUACCGCAUAAGACCACAGAGCCGCAUGGCUCGGUGGGAAAAACUCCGGUGGUAUGAGAUGGACCCGCGUCUGAUUAGGUAGUUGGUGGGGUAACGGCCUACCAAGCCAACGAUCAGUAGCCGACCUGAGAGGGUGACCGGCCACAUUGGGACUGAGACACGGCCCAAACUCCUACGGGAGGCAGCAGUGGGGAAUAUUGCACAAUGGGGGAAACCCUGAUGCAGCGACGCCGCGUGAGCGAAGAAGUAUUUCGGUAUGUAAAGCUCUAUCAGCAGGGAAGAAAAUGACGGUACCUGACUAAGAAGCACCGGCUAAAUACGUGCCAGCAGCCGCGGUAAUACGUAUGGUGCAAGCGUUAUCCGGAUUUACUGGGUGUAAAGGGAGCGUAGACGGCUGUGUAAGUCUGAAGUGAAAGCCCGGGGCUCAACCCCGGGACUGCUUUGGAAACUAUGCAGCUAGAGUGUCGGAGAGGUAAGUGGAAUUCCCAGUGUAGCGGUGAAAUGCGUAGAUAUUGGGAGGAACACCAGUGGCGAAGGCGGCUUACUGGACGAUGACUGACGUUGAGGCUCGAAAGCGUGGGGAGCAAACAGGAUUAGAUACCCUGGUAGUCCACGCCGUAAACGAUGACUACUAGGUGUCGGGGAGCAAAGCUCUUCGGUGCCGCAGCAAACGCAAUAAGUAGUCCACCUGGGGAGUACGUUCGCAAGAAUGAAACUCAAAGGAAUUGACGGGG
rnacentral:rRNA from 1 species